rnacentral:rRNA from 1 species
CCUACGGGUGGCUGCAGUGGGGAAUAUUGGACAAUGGGGGCAACCCUGAUCCAGCCAUGCCGCGUGUGUGAAGAAGGCCCUCGGGUUGUAAAGCACUUUCAGUGAGGAAGAACGCCUGGUGGUUAAUACCCAUCAGGAAAGACAUCACUCACAGAAGAAGCACCGGCUAACUCCGUGCCAGCAGCCGCGGUAAUACGGAGGGGGCGAGCGUUAAUCGGAAUUACUGGGCGUAAAGCGCGCGUAGGGGGCUUGAUAAGCCGGUUGUGAAAGCCCCGGGCUCAACCUGGGAACGGCAUCCGGAACUGUCAAGCUAGAGUGCAGGAGAGGAAGGUAGAAUUCCCGGUGUAGCGGUGAAAUGCGUAGAGAUCGGGAGGAAUACCAGUGGCGAAGGCGGCCUUCUGGACUGACACUGACACUGAGGUGCGAAAGCGUGGGGAGCAAACAGGAUUAGAUACCCGAGUAGUC